rnacentral:rRNA from 1 species
GAACGGAAAGGCCCUGCUUUUGUGGGGUGCUCGAGUGGCGAACGGGUGAGUAACACGUGAGUAACCUGCCCUUGACUUUGGGAUAACUUCAGGAAACUGGGGCUAAUACCGGAUAGGAGCUCCUGCUGCAUGGUGGGGGUUGGAAAGUUUCGGCGGUUGGGGAUGGACUCGCGGCUUAUCAGCUUGUUGGUGGGGUAGUGGCUUACCAAGGCUUUGACGGGUAGCCGGCCUGAGAGGGUGACCGGCCACAUUGGGACUGAGAUACGGCCCAGACUCCUACGGGAGGCAGCAGUGGGGAAUAUUGCACAAUGGGCGGAAGCCUGAUGCAGCAACGCCGCGUGCGGGAUGACGGCCUUCGGGUUGUAAACCGCUUUCGCCUGUGACGAAGCGUGAGUGACGGUAAUGGGUAAAGAAGCACCGGCUAACUACGUGCCAGCAGCCGCGGUGAUACGUAGGGUGCGAGCGUUGUCCGGAUUUAUUGGGCGUAAAGGGCUCGUAGGUGGUUGAUCGCGUCGGAAGUGUAAUCUUGGGGCUUAACCCUGAGCGUGCUUUCGAUACGGGUUGACUUGAGGAAGGUAGGGGAGAAUGGAAUUCCUGGUGGAGCGGUGGAAUGCGCAGAUAUCAGGAGGAACACCAGUGGCGAAGGCGGUUCUCUGGGCCUUUCCUGACGCUGAGGAGCGAAAGCGUGGGGAGCGAACAGGCUUAGAUACCCUGGUAGUCCACGCUGUAAACGGUGGGUACUAGGUGUGGGGUCCAUUCCACGGGUUCCGUGCCGUAGCUAACGCUUUAAGUACCCCGCCUGGGGAGUACGGCCGCAAGGCUAAAACUCAAAGGAAUUGACGGGGCCCCGCACAAGCGGCGGAGCAUGCGGAUUAAUUCGAUGCAACGCGUAGAACCUUACCUGGGUUUGACAUGGAUCGGGAGUGCUCAGAGAUGGGUGUGCCUCUUUUGGGGUCGGUUCACAGGUGGUGCAUGGCUGUCGUCAGCUCGUGUCGUGAGAUGUUGGGUUAAGUCCCGCAACGAGCGCAACCCUUGUUCACUGUUGCCAGCACGUUAUGGUGGGGACUCAGUGGAGACCGCCGGGGUCAACUCGGAGGAAGGUGGGGAUGACGUCAAGUCAUCAUGCCCCUUAUGUCCAGGGCUUCACGCAUGCUACAAUGGCUGGUACAGAGAGUGGCGAGCCUGUGAGGGUGAGCGAAUCUCGGAAAGCCGGUCUCAGUUCGGAUUGGGGUCUGCAACUCGACCUCAUGAAGUCGGAGUCGCUAGUAAUCGCAGAUCAGCAACGCUGCGGUGAAUACGUUCCCGGGGCUUGUACACACCGCCCGUCAAGUCAUGAAAGUUGGUAACACCCGAAGCCGGUGGCCUAACCGUUGUGGGGGAGCCGUCGAAGGUGGGACUGGUGAUUAGGACUAAG